rnacentral:rRNA from 1 species
AGUGAACGCUGGCGGUAGGCCUAACACAUGCAAGUCGAACGGCAGCACAGUAAGAGCUUGCUCUUACGGGUGGCGAGUGGCGGACGGGUGAGGAAUACAUCGGAAUCUACUUUUUCGUGGGGGAUAACGUAGGGAAACUUACGCUAAUACCGCAUACGACCUACGGGUGAAAGCAGGGGAUCUUCGGACCUUGCGCGAUUGAAUGAGCCGAUGUCGGAUUUGCUAGUUGGCGGGGUAAAGGCCCACCAAGGCGACGAUCCGUAGCUGGUGUGAGAGGAUGAUCAGCGACACUGGAGCUGAGACAGGGUCCAGACUCCUACGGGAGGCAGCAGUGGGGAAUAUUGGACAAUGGGCGCAAGCCUGAUCCAGCCAUACCGCGUGGGUGAAGAAGGCCUUCGGGUUGUAAAGCCCUUUUGUUGGGAAAGAAAAGCAGCAGGUUAAUACCCCGCUGUUCUGACGGUACCCAAAGAAUAAGCACCGGCUAACUUCGUG